GGGAUGAGCCGUGCCCGGCGGGGUGGUCGCUAGCAGAAGGAUGACCACUCCCGCCCUGCUGCCGCUCUCCGGGCGGAGGCUGCCCCCCCUGAACCUGGGCGCCUCCGCCUUCCCGCACCACAGGGCUACCUUGAGACUCUCCGAAAAAUUUAUCCUGCUCCUUAUUCUUAGUGCCUUCAUCACCCUGUGCUUCGGGGCGUUCUUCUUCCUCCCCGACUCCUCGAAGCACAAGCGCUUUGACCUGGGCUUGGAGGAUGUGCUCAUUCCUCACGUCGACACCAGCAAAGGGGGCAAGAACCUGGGCGGCUUCCUCAUCCACGGGCAAGGGCACGACGAGCACCGGCACAGAGAAGAAGAGGAACGUCUGAGAAAUAAGAUCCGAGCAGAUCAUGAAAAGGCUCUGGAAGAGGCUAAGGAGAAAUUGAAGAAAUCGCGUGAUGAAAUUCAAGCUGAGAUUCAGACAGAAAAGAACAAAGUAGUGCAAGAGUUGAAAAAGAAAGACAGCAAGCCACUGCCCCCUGUUCCUUUACCAAAUCUUAUAGGGAUAAACAGUGGAGAACCAGCAGACCCGGAUAUCCGAGAGAAGAGGAACAAAAUUAAAGAGAUGAUGAAGCAUGCCUGGGACAAUUAUAGGCAAUAUGGAUGGGGACAUAAUGAGCUCAAACCAAUUGCCCGGAAAGGACAUUCCACCAACAUAUUUGGAAACUCACAAAUGGGUGCUACCAUAGUAGAUGCAUUGGAUACUCUUUACAUCAUGGGGCUUCAUGAUGAAUUCAGAGAAGGACAAGAGUGGAUUGACAAAAAUCUUGAUUUCAGUGUGAAUUCCGAAGUGUCUGUUUUUGAGGUCAAUAUUCGCUUCAUUGGUGGUCUUCUAGCAGCAUACUACCUUUCAGGACAAGAGGUUUUCAAGAUCAAGGCAGUCCAACUGGCAGGAAAACUUCUUCCAGCCUUCAACACACCUACGGGUAUACCAUGGGCAAUGGUGAAUCUGAAAAGUGGUGUGGGUCGAAACUGGGGCUGGGCUUCUGCUGGCAGCAGCAUCCUUGCUGAGUUUGGUACUCUGCACAUGGAAUUUGUCCACCUCAGCUAUUUGACAGGGGACCCUGUAUACUACAACAAGGUCAUGCACAUUCGGAAGUUACUCCAAAAAAUGGAUCGUCCUAAUGGACUUUACCCAAAUUAUUUGAAUCCAAGAACAGGCCGGUGGGGUCAGCAUCACACAUCCGUGGGCGGGCUGGGAGACAGUUUUUAUGAAUAUUUAUUGAAAGCCUGGCUUAUGUCAGACAAGAUGGACACGGAGGCAAGGAAAAUGUACGACGAUGCAAUUGAGGCCAUAGAAAAACAUCUCAUCAGAAAGUCCAAUGGAGGACUGACCUUCAUUGGGGAGUGGAAGAACGGGCACCUUGAAAGAAAGAUGGGCCAUUUGACCUGUUUUGCAGGGGGAAUGUUUGCCCUUGGAGCAGAUGGUUCCAGAGAUGAUAAAGCUGGACAUUAUUUGCAGCUUGGAGCUGAAAUUGCACAUACGUGUCAUGAGUCAUAUGACAGGACAACAUUAAAGCUGGGUCCAGAAGCAUUCAAAUUUGAUGGUGGUGUAGAGGCAGUGGCAGUGCGGCAGAAUGAGAAGUAUUACAUCCUAAGACCAGAGGUGAUUGAGACCUACUGGUAUAUGUGGAGAUUCACCCACGAUCCCAAGUACAGGCAGUGGGGCUGGGAGGCAACACAGGCAAUUGACAAGUAUUGCCGAGUCAGUGGUGGCUUUUCUGGUGUCAAGGAUGUCUAUUCCUCAUCUCCUACAUAUGACGACGUACAGCAGAGCUUUUUCCUUGCUGAAACUUUGAAGUAUUUGUAUCUGCUCUUCUCCAAUGAUGACCUGCUACCAUUAGACAACUGGGUUUUUAACACAGAAGCUCAUCCUCUGCCUGUUUUACAUUUAGCCAACACCACGCUGUCAGGAAAUCCUGCAUAUCGAUAAAAACAGCUCUGUGAAGAGAAAUAGAGACUGUUUUCAGCUCUGUUUUGUUUACAUGGACCACUUGAGACUUUUAGCAGGAGAGGAGACAGACACUUGAUAAAACUAGACCUCUGAGUCAAGCAAGUACCGGCGUGAGAAUCAAAGCUCUUCAACAUAUAGAUAAGUUAAAAGUUCUGUUUUAUACAUGACCAAAACACGUUAGUGUGGUAUUUGCAGGACAGAGACUUCAUGUGCUUUGAACCCUAGCAAGACAUGGAAUCUACUGUUUAAUGUAAAUGCAGCAGUAUAAGGAAGAAGAGGCUUUCCCGUCCAGGGAGAGGAACUUGCUGCUGCUGUUGGCUGUUGCAAGGAACAACACACCAGUCACCUCUUCAGAUCGGGUGUGUGUAUGACAGAAGCCCAAAGAUGCCUUUGAUUUAGGUUACAAAAUUCCUUUUCUUCUCGGUGCUCCAGUACAAAGCCAACAUGAUCUUCUUUGGGAACAACAUAACUUCUCUUACAUGUGAGUGGAAAAAGAAACUGAAGAGUCUCUUCUUCCAUUAGUUUAUGAGAAAUGAGAUGCUGUUACCUGCAUGGUGGUGGUGGUGGUGGUGGGGUUCCCAAGUACUCCUAGGCUGGGCUGGACAUUAUCACUUAAAUGGAGUCUGCUUCAGUCUUCACUUAUUUGCUAAAAGAAGUUUUGUCUUUUCAAGUAUAUCUCAAUCUCUUUUUUUUUUUUUUUCUUACCAUUGUUCCAGAAUCCUUACAGCUCAAAUUAUUCUUUUUUUUUUCCCCUUUAUAGCUCCCAAAUCCUUUUGCCACGGUGACUGGCCCCUUUGCUGAAAAAGACCUGUGAGGUGCUCCUUUCUCUCCUAAUUAGUGCACAGUUGAGUCUUUAAAAAAGAAAUCUUGAUUGUGUUUUCAGACUAAAAUGAGUGGAAGAACUCUACAGUGAGGUAGAGCAGUACAGCAUCAGAUAUAAAGGCAGUGAGCGCUAUUUCUCCCUGUAAAAAAAAAAAGUUUAUAUAUGAAGAUAAAGCUUUUCUCUCCAUCACAUUAUAUCUGACUGUACGUUAUAGUAGAAUUUCCCACAUAAAACUUUUCUUCACUUGUCUUUGACACUAACUUAGACACAGCAUUUUUUCUUAGAUCAUGUGAUGAUUUCUAUCAGAUGCUUUUUUCCAGACAGUUACUUUAAUUUAAGAGGAGGAAGACAUAGAGCUUGGAAAAAAGCUCCAGUCUCAAUGUUUUUACCUUAGUACCAGUUACUUAGUUACUGUAAUUUGCAGCAGUAGCUUAAAAAUAAUUUGAGAACUGACAAAGUAAUUGAUAUAGUAAAUAAUACUGAUGCAAGUAAUUGUUUAUUUAAAAUUAGAAGUAGCUUAAUAAACUGAUUCUUCUUGCUGGUCUCACAUUAAAAUAUUUUUCUAAUUAGUAUUCAGUGACUUACUGAAGAGCUAGUAACUUUCUAUUUUCCAAAGUUCAGAUAUGUUGUGUUUUCAAAUGGAGUUUUUUUCCAUCCCAUGAGAACUGUUAGUAGUUUAAAACUGCACUCUAUUGCCUUGUUCUCCUGGGUACAAAGGAGAAAGAGGAAAAGCAGACUCUUCAGUUUAAUAAUAAAAAAAGGCACUUUCCACCCCAUUACACCCAUCCCCAUACACCUCCUGAUAAACGCAGAUGUAGAGUGGCUGCCAGUCUGUUCAGAGAAAGGCCAAGGACAGAAAUCUGGAGUCCCAGAAAGAGCAAACUUCUUAUCAUUGUUUGCUGCUCUUCCACCCCCCUCUAGUGAAUUAAAGAGCGACCCUUCAGAUUAAUUCCUCCAUGAAGCCCAAUGGGUUAACUCACUGCCACAAGAAUGCUUGAAUUGAGGACCUAAGCCAUUUCAUGUUAUGGGAUGGUAUUUUUCUCAAAGCAGAUAUACAGUACUGCUAUUUCUUCUUUGUGUAGACAAGCAGCAGGUACCAAAUAAAGGACACUUGUUUCUCGUUUUCCAGUUACCCCAACAGCUGUCAGUUUCUACUCUAUCACUCUUGAAAUACAAACUAUCCUUUUCCUCCAGAAGCUACUGAUGUAAAAAUAAUGCAUUUUGUGGACUAACUGCUGUGUCAUUCAUGAAUCUCUCCAUCCUGAGAUUUCCUAGAGCAAGCUGAGUUUGGAGGUAAUGGGUUCUGAGCGAGGUGGGUACAUAAUAACCAAGCACCAUGGAUAUUGAAACUUCUGACUGAAGUGGUGUGCCCUUGUACUGAGUCCUUCACAGAGAAGUAGGUUCUGAUCGGCAGAACGGCGUUAUGUGCAACCCAAAGUUCAGACUGUUUUCCCUCUGGGUCUAUAAGGUACAGUAGAAUAUUGCCAUUUUCAUUCUGUUGCUGCUGUCUUACAUACUUUCAUGAAGAUAGAGUGUAAAUUUAAGCACAAAAUGACUUUUUAGUCCUAGUUGUUUCGGAGUCUUGCACUGUAUUCUCUAACAAAAAAAUCCUCGUUUUCUUUAGGUAGCUGUCCCAUUUUAGCAAUUUCUACAAUACCCUCUCCUCUUACAGGAUGAAAUAAAGAACAGAAAAUCAUGUACAUUUUUGGCACACUGGAUUUGGGCAAGAGCCUGGAAAUCCCAGAACUGUCUAUUUCCU